UACGGGGGGAGCAAGCGUUGUUCGGAUUUACUGGGCGUAAAGGGCGCGUAGGCGGUCGUGACAAGUCACUUGUGAAAUCUCCGGGCUUAACUCGGAACGGUCAAGUGAUACUGUCGGACUAGAGUACAGAAGGGGCAACUGGAAUUCCUGGUGUAGCGGUGAAAUGCGCAGAUAUCAGGAGGAACACCGGUGGCGAAGGCGGGUCUCUGGGCCGAUACUGACGCUGAGGAGCGAAAGCGUGGGGAGCAAACAGG
rnacentral:rRNA from 1 species